rnacentral:rRNA from 1 species
CAUGCAGUCGAACGGCAGCGCGGGGCAACCUGGCGGCGAGUGGCGAACGGGUGAGUNAUAUAUCGGAACGUACCCUGGAGUGGGGGAUAACGUAGCGAAAGUUACGCUAAUACCGCAUACGAUCUAAGGAUGAAAGUGGGGGAUUCGCAAGAACCUCAUGCUCCUGGAGCGGCCGAUAUCUGAUUAGCUAGUUGGUGGGGUAAAGGCCUACCAAGGCAUCGAUCAGUAGCUGGUCUGAGAGGACGACCAGCCACACUGGAACUGAGACACGGUCCAGACUCCUACGGGAGGCAGCAGUGGGGAAUUUUGGACAAUGGGCGAAAGCCUGAUCCAGCAAUGCCGCGUGAGUGAAGAAGGCCUUCGGGUUGUAAAGCUCUUUUGUCAGGGAAGAAACGGUGAGAGCUAAUAUCUCUUGCUAAUGACGGUACCUGAAGAAUAAGCACCGGCUAACUACGUGCCAGCAGCCGCGGUAAUACGUAGGGUGCAAGCGUUAAUCGGAAUUACUGGGCGUAAAGCGUGCGCAGGCGGUUUUGUAAGUUUGUCGUGAAAUCCCCGGGCUCAACCUGGGAAUUGCGAUGAAGACUGCAAGGCUAGAAUCUGGCAGAGGGGGGUAGAAUUCCACGUGUAGCAGUGAAAUGCGUAGAGAUGUGGAGGAACACCGAUGGCGAAGGCAGCCCCCUGGGUCAAGAUUGACGCUCAUGCACGAAAGCGUGGGGAGCAAACAGGAUUAGAUACCCUGGUAGUCCACGCCCUAAACGAUGUCUACUAGUUGUCGGGUUUUAAUUAACUUGGUAACGCAGCUAACGCGUGAAGUAGACCGCCUGGGGAGUACGGUCGCAAGAUUAAACUCAAAGGAAUUGACGGGGACCCGCACAAGCGGUGGAUGAUGUGGAUUAAUUCGAUGCAACGCGAAAACCUUACCUACCCUUGACAUGUACGGA